rnacentral:rRNA from 1 species
UAGUCAAUGCUCGCAAGAGUGAACUAGCUAACUGAAAUCAAAGAGUUUCUUUAAACUCUAGAUGUCGUAAGGGAAAAUAAUGAUAAUACCUUACUAUUAGUGUCGUCCAAAUCUGGUGCCAGAAGACUCGGUAAGACCAGAGACGCGAACGUUAAUCAUCAUAAUCAGGCGUAAAGGGUUUGUAGGCUGCUUUCAGAAUACUAUGAGUAUCAAAAUAAAGUAGUAAUAUUGAAAGCUAGAAUCAAAAAGAGGUUAUAUUGUAUAACGCCUAGAGGAGGGCUGAUAUCCUUAGAUCCUAGGCAGAGUACUAAAGGCGAAGGCCACUCUCCACUAAUGAUUGACGCUGAGAAACGAAGGUUAGGGUAUGAAAUAGGAUUAGAUACCCCGGUACUCCUUUCUGUAAACGAUGAAUGGUAGUCUUUAGAAGAUUUAACUAGAGACGAAGUUAACACAAUAACCAUUCCGCCUUGUGAGUACUACUGCAAAGUAGAAAACAAAAAAAUUAGUCGGUCUCGAAGCAAACGGAGUGAAGCAUGUUAUUUAAU